AAAACGCGUAACUCUACGGAAUCUCAAAAGACUGCAUAUGAAUAGUGGUGCCAUUCUGAUGAGAUGACCCGUUGCUACAUCUUGGCAUCCAUGUCAAACGUAUUUUGACUGAAGGUAUAUUAAUAUUUGAGACUUUGAACAUCAAUUCAAUUUAAGUUAGGGAUCAAGAAUACCAAGUUUAUCCUUCAACCGUCCGGCUAUGAUGUCGGAACUGCAAUGGAAGUGAUUUUGUCCCCCUCUACUUGCAUUCAUCAUCCACAUGAACAUGCUUUACUCGAUGCGACAUGAUGAAUCUCAAAUGAUUACU
rnacentral:lncRNA from 1 species